rnacentral:sRNA from 1 species
CUGGUGAGCUUGUUAUUACUGAUGGCUUUUCAGGGCAGCCCCUGAGCCCAGUGAAGGCCUCAUAUUCCCCUGGGUUCUGAAUAUAACUAGAGCCCCUUAGCCCCAACAGCUUUCCUAAAUUUUCCACAUCCAAGCCUAACAGUCUCCCCAUGUGUUUGUGUAUUUGCUGUGUUCUCAGCUGGCCCGGAUUGCGGACAGUAAGGAUCAUGUAUUUCCUGUGAAUGACGGCUUUCAGGCUCUGCAAGGCAUCAUCCACUCAAUUUUGAAGAAGUCCUGCAUCGAAAUUCUAGCAGCUGAACCAU